rnacentral:lncRNA from 13 species
UUUCCAGAGCAAGAUAUAUAAUAAUACAGUGAUCCACAGACUUGUUUGACCAAAGUAUUUUUAUUUUUUAGGUUUUAAGGAACAGAGAGUUUAAUGGGCAAGAAGGAAAGGAGAAGACAGAAAGAAGAAGCUCCCCUAUACAGACGCAGAGGGAGGAGAGCUCCAAAGCCCAAAGAGGAGGUCCCCACCUGCCAUCGAUACCAGCAAGAUUUUGAUGGCUAUUCCAUUUCUUACUGAAUAACAUCUCAAGAUUUAGCCUCUAGUUUGUAACAACUCAGCAUUCUGCAAAGACUGCUCCAGCUGGG